CGAGUCGGUCGGACGGUCGCGUCGGGUGCCUCCGGGUACCCGCCGAGGAACGUCCGGGCUCCACAGGGCAAGGUGGUGGCCAACAGCCACCCGGGGUGACCCGCGGGACAGUGCCACAGAAAGCAGACCGCCACCGGCUUCGGCCGGGGGUAAGGGUGAAACGGUGGUGUAAGAGACCACCAGCGCUGCCGGUGACGGCAGCGGCUCGGUAAACCCCACCUGGAGCAAGGUCAGACAGACUGUGUCGGAGGGCUGCCCGCCCGAUCCUCCUCGGAGGAACACAGUCGGGUAGACCGCUCGAGCCCUGCGGCAACGCAGGGCCUAGAUGGAUGACCGUCGCCCGCGCCGGGGCAACCGGGCGCGGGAACAGAACCCGGCGUACAGACCGGCUCGUCCG
rnacentral:RNase_P_RNA from 1 species